rnacentral:rRNA from 1 species
UACGGAGGGGGCUAGCGUUAUUCGGAAUUACUGGGCGUAAAGCGCACGUAGGCGGCUUUGUAAGUUAGAGGUGAAAGCCCGGAGCUUAACUCCGGAACUGCCUUUAAAACUGCAAAGCUAGAAUCAUGGAGAGGUGAGUGGAAUUCCGAGUGUAGAGGUGAAAUUCGUAGAUAUUCGGAAGAACACCUGUGGCGAAGGCGGCCCCCUGGUUGGAUACUGACGCUGAUACGCGAAAGCGUGGGGAGCAAACAGG